AUAGUACUCCCUCCGUCCGGAAAUACUUGUCGGAGGAAUGGACGUAUCUAGACGUAUUUUAGUUUUAGAUACAUCUAUUUUUAUACAUUUUCUCGACAAGUAUUUCCGAACGGAGGGAGUAUUUA
rfam:Triticum urartu cultivar G1812 contig920092, whole genome shotgun sequence.